UACGUAGGGUGCGAGCGUUAAUCGGAAUUACUGGGCGUAAAGCGUGCGUAGGCGGUUUGUUAAGUCUGUUGUGAAAGCCCCGGGCUCAACCUGGGAAUGGCAAUGGAAACUGGCAAGCUAGAGUGUGGCAGAGGGGGGUGGAAUUCCACGUGUAGCAGUGAAAUGCGUAGAGAUGUGGAGGAACACCGAUGGCGAAGGCAGCCCCCCUGGGCUAACACUGACGCUCAUGCACGAAAGCGUGGGGAGCAAACAGG
rnacentral:rRNA from 1 species